rnacentral:rRNA from 1 species
UGGGGAAUUGUUCGCAAUGGGGGAAACCCUGACGAAGCAACGCCGCGUGGGGGAUGAAGGUCUUCGGAUCGUAAACCCCUGUCGAUCGGGACGAAAGCACCCGACCUAACACGUCGGAGUGUUGACUGUACCGGUGGAGGAAGCCACGGCUAACUCUGUGCCAGCAGCCGCGGUAAUACAGAGGUGGCAAGCGUUGUUCGGAAUUACUGGGCGUAAAGGGCGCGUAGGCGGUCUUGUAAGUCCCGUGUGAAAGCCCCCGGCUCAACCGGGGAAUGGCACGGGAAACUGCGAGGCUUGAGUUCGGGAGAGGGAAGCGGAAUUCCGGGUGUAGCGGUGAAAUGCGUAGAUAUCCGGAGGAACACCAGUGGCGAAGGCGGCUUCCUGGACCGAUACUGACGCUGAGGCGCGAAAGCUAGGGGAGCAAACGGGAUUAGAUACCCUUGUAGUCCCUGAGCGGGCUGGCAAGGCGCAU